rnacentral:rRNA from 1 species
UACAGAGGUCUCAAGCGUUGUUCGGAUUCAUUGGGCGUAAAGGGUGCGUAGGUGGCGCCGUAAGUCAGGUGUGAAAUUUCGGAGCUCAACUCCGAAACUGCAUUUGAUACUGCGGUGCUUGAGGACUGGAGAGGAGACUGGAAUUCACGGUGUAGCAGUGAAAUGCGUAGAGAUCGUGAGGAAGACCAGUGGCGAAGGCGGGGUCUCUGGACAGUUCCUGACACUGAGGCACGAAGGCCCAGGGGGAGCAAAACGGGG